AUUGAACGCUGGCGGCAGGCCUAACACAUGCAAGUCGAGCGCGCGGCGGACGUGUGAGUAAUGUAUGGGGACUGCCCGAUAGAGGGGGAUAACUACUGGUAACGGUGGCUAAUACCGCAUACUAUCGGAUAACCCAUAUGGGAUUAGCUAGUAGGUGGGGUAAAGGCUCACCGAGGCGACGAUCACGAGCUGGUCUGAGAGGAUGAUAGACCACACUGGGACUGAGACACGGCCCAGACGCCUACGGAGGCAGCAGUGGGGAGUAUUGCACAAUGGGCGCAAGCCUGAUGCAGCCAUGCCGAGUGUAGGAAGAAGGCCUUAGGGUUGUAAAGUACGGUCAGCGGGGAGGCGUGACCCGCAGAAGAAGCACCGGCUAACUCCGUGCCAGCAGCCGCGGUAAUUC
rnacentral:rRNA from 1 species